GGACAACGGGAAUCCGACUGUUUAAUUAAACAAAGCGUUGCGAUGACUUCAGAAGGUGUUGGCGCAAUAUUAUUUCUGCCCAGUGCUCUGAAUGACAAAGUGAUCAAAUUCAAGCACGCGCGGGUAUUCGGCGGGAGUAACGACGACUCUCUUAAGACGGCCACAUGCCGCGUCAUCUAUAAGUGACGUGCAUGAACGGAUGUCAGAGUGCU
rnacentral:ncRNA from 1 species